GAGAGGAACAACAUCAUGCUUAUUAGGACAGAAAACCUCAGUACUCAAGGUGGCGGUAAAGAUACAAUCAAAUGUCUGUGGCAUAAAAUGAGAUGCUUUUGUAAUGUCUUUCACAUUUCUGGGGUUCUUAGAGAGUCAUCAUAGUUGGGUAUUCUUCUCUGGUGGAUAAAUCUUAGUCCUAGUCUGCUAUGGAUAGGCUUGACCAGAGUCAAAUACCCCGUUGCUUUAGGAGGAAAUUCUUCUUAGCAAACUUUUAGUCACAAUGUUGACUUGUAUUGUUCCCAGGUGCAAGAAUUCAUAGAAUAAACAUAUAGUUGGAGAGAGUUAUUUUUGGUUUCCAGUGAAGUAUCCAGUGCAUUGUAGGCAGCAGCUAAAGGCUGCAAAGAAUUGUAAAUAUGGAGAAAACACACUACUGAAUAUCUGAAAAACCUCCUUGUUUGUAGUCAACAUUUAAACUUGAAUGAAUACGGACACAUUAUUUUAGGCCGAACAGAGGGGAAAAACAAAGAAACUGCCGUUUCAUCUAGAGGUCUGCGCAGGAUGGAUUUUUCAAACCCCCCUGCUCGCUCCCACAAGAUUCUGUACCGCUCCCACCAAAAAUAUGUUCUAUUUUAUCCUGGUUUCUGCCCGAAAAUUUCACAUUUUGUCCAGUUCCUGCCUGCAAAAGCCUGUAGGAAGAGGUCUACAUGGAUUUUUCAGUCCCAGUCCGGUUAGAUUCUGUCUCAUUUCAGUGUCUAUAGGCUAUUUUUUCCCAUUUCCACACUUCAUAUCUCCAGUUGCAGACAUCUGCAUGCUGUUAUUAUAAGAUAAAUAUAUUUUGCAGAAGCCCAUGAGUCAUUUCUUUCUCCCGCUUCCUGCACACAUAUCAGAAUCUUCUCUCCCGCAUCUGCACUCAGCAAUUCAAAAGUUGUCCUGCGCCACACUCUGUUGUGUCGGGUCCCACAGUCUUGCCACGGGAUUGCUGACCUCUAGUUUUGUCAGUUAAUUUGGAAGAAUGGGGAGCACCUUCUGUCCAACCCCAUGAAGCGAAAUGCUGUCCCGUACAGGUAAGAGAGCUGUUGCCAUAGUGUUCCAUUUACACCAUAAUGCUGUUUAAAGAGUAGACAAAGUACGAUACAAUUUUCAGUGAUAAACCUGCACUUACAAUAACUGUUUUAUUAAUAACCCUCUGUGGAUCCGACUGUUCGUGGACGGGGAUACAAACAUGCGGAAGUACAAUCUGCUGUCAAAAGUCUGUAGAAUGACGCAUUUUGCCUCAUUCAGUGGACUUUUGCUGACAAAUAAAAUGGAAUUUUAAACUGGUCCAGGUAACACUGAGAAAGAGUAAACAUUGACAAUGUAACUUUGGCUGAUUGAGCAUGUUGAAUCACCAUUGGGCAGCUGGUGAGACAGAUCACUCUGAUUGGCUUAGCUCAGCUAACCAGUGCACGAGAAGAAAAAUGAAAGUAAUGAAAGCGAGCAAAGUCAAGAGGGCAAACACAGAAGGCUCUUCCAAUUUUACAUCUUUAUCUUACCUGAGCAUCUCAAUAUGCAAAUAUGUUUCUAACGACAUGUCUGUCUAGAAUGAAGAGGGUGAAGACCAACUGAUCAGCAUGAUUCAUAAUCAAAAUGGCGCAGAACGUACAUGCUAGUUGCCAGUUGAAUACAGUAUUUGCGGUGUGUUCAAGUGCAACUUUUUGGCCCAGAAGCUGAUGUGAAGCUAGUUCUUUGAUGUCUUAUUUGUGAAGAUCUCACCUCCUUCAUAAUCUUAAUGGCCUCCACUCUGUGCUGAGGUGGUGGGUAGAGCAGAAUACGGUGGUACAGGGACUGCAAAACAGGCUUCAUGGACUCGAUACAGCCCACCAGACGGACUAACUCUGCUGCAACGUAGCAGAUGGUGCGAACUACUGGCCCAAUCAUGCCGGGAGCACUCGAUGAGCAGCCAGAACCCCGGCCUUGAUCCAAGACCGCUGUCCCUGGUGCCCCGUCUGAGUCCUGAGAUUGCCCUCCAUGGGCAGAGGUGAUGGUUUUAUCACUCGCUGGGUUUCCCAUAAUCACCACCAGAGUUGGACACAGCUGCUUCCUGUGUAUAGACAGUACACACUUAUGAUGUAUAAUUACACCAUGUUCCUCUCAGAAUCAUAAUAAUCACUUUGUAAGACCAAAGUAACACAAAUUAAGAUUAUACGUUUACAAGAAAUAGAUGUGUUUAUUGGAUAUUGUAUAAUAGUGAUGCCAUUUUUCUGGACAUACCCUGCUAAUACCUGCUAAGUUCCCAUUGAAGUAUGGUGGAGAAUACUGUUAAAGUCUGAUUAAAGUCACCAUGAAAUCAAAA